rnacentral:tRNA from 1 species
UUGUAGCUCAGUCGGAUAGAGCACUUGCCUCCUAAGCAAGGGGUCGCAGGUUCAAUUCCUGUCA